UUACAUAACCACAAAGCCUUUUUAAAACAUUGAUUCUGCAAAUAAUACAUUUGCCUAUCACAAUUAUAUCAGACAAAGCCCGCCAGCAGCAGCGGUCCCUGGCUCACACACACACACCUCCUUAACAACUGUGGGAACAUGCUGUAUUCUAACACGUUCUGUUAUUGGACAAUGUACUGCAAAUGCCAUUUCUUAUCACGAACAAACUACCACACAAUCCUGACCUGCUGGGGAGUGCUCUCCCCACUGGACCGGCAGGACUUAGUCAACCAGCCUUUCUGUCCUGACCUAAGCUGAAUGAACAGCCACGAAUUGGUCUUGGCAAAGGUGUCUUUAUCCUCGUCCAGGGUCAUUGGGUCCUUGAGGACCAGUUCCGUAAGAGGGACUGCUGAG
rnacentral:lncRNA from 1 species